ACCGGGAGGCUGCGGGGUGAGCACUCCGGCGCCGCCCGCGCCUUCCUCCCCCGCGCCAGAGCGCGGCCCCGGCCCGCCAGGCUCCCGAAGCCUUCCUGGUUCGCUCUGUUCCUAAAACUCCGUUGUCAAUGCAAACCCCAGGCCUCCCCUUCCAUGGGUAAAAUAACCCACACAAGCAGAGGCGGGAGACUUACUGUUUCUGCAGGGGCCGCCUCCGCUUCCGGCCCGCGUACGUGCACUCCCCCGGCGGGAUCAUCGUCCUCGGCCUGGAAGACACGGGGCACCCGGUCACCGGAAAGCGCCACAUGCGCCCUGGUCCCGCCGCGACGCCCCGGGCCCCUCAGCGCGGUCCGGGAGCCCCACACCCACGACCCCGCGAGGCCCCCACGCCUCCUCCUCGUGGGACCCCCUGGCCCGGGACUUCGGCUCUCCAGCACCCCGCACUGAGAACGCACCGGGGCUGGGUCACGCCUGGGCCUCCCUUCGGUGGCAGGCGGGUCCCGGCCUCCCCCAGAGAAGCGGCCCGCUCUGGAGCCUGGCUCAGGGCGCCAUGGCGGGAGACGUCCUGAGGAGGAAGCCAUCGAGGAAGCCACGCACGGGCGGGGCGCGGCCAAGGCCUGGGCAGCCUGCAGCCUCGAAACACUCAUCACGCAGGUCCCGUGUUCCCGUUACCCCCGAGAAGAUAUUUGGGGUCCCGUGUUCCCGUCACCCCCAAGAAGAAUCUUGAUUUUCCUUGCAAUGGGUGCAGCUGAGCCCUCACAAAUGUCCUGCAGACCUGUGUGCAGUAACCAUCGUAUGCCAGGCUCUGGGCCAAAAGCCUUGGGGAGGAAGUUAAGGAGCCCUCACCUGACCUGAAGUGAGUGCAGCCUGGAAGAGGACGCAGACUCACACAAUAUCCACCUGGUGGGAAAGUGCCAUAAAAAUGUCAAAAAUGUGUCAUGGAUCCACUUUGACUAUAAAGACUUAGGUAGAUAAAGUAAAUGGAUAGAAAAAGAUACACCAUGCAAACAUUAAUCAAAUGAAGCAGCUGCAUGAGUCCCAGACAAAGGAGACUUCAGAACAAGGAAUAUCACCAGAAACAAAAAGGUAUGUUCUAUAAUAGUAAAGGCAUCAAUUUUCCAAGGAGAUCUGACAAUCCUAAAGGUAAAUGUACCUAGCAAUGGAGCUUCAAAACACAUGAAGCAAAAACUAAUAAAACCAAAAAGGACAAUUCAUGGCAGACAUUAACAUUUCUAUCUCAGUAAUCAAUAGAACAAGUAAAUAAAAUCAGUAAGGAUAUCCAACAACAACAGACUUGAAUUAAUGGAAAUCUAUAAAACACUCCAUUCAACAACAGAAGAGUAUCUGGUUUUUGCACAUGUAACAUUCACCAAGGUAGACCAUAUUUCUGGGACUUAAAGCUAUCCUUAA